CUUACAGAACUGUCAGUUGCUUUCUUCCUAAUCCGGGAGGUCCUUAAAGGCCAGCCUCAUGGUCUGAAGCUGAAGAAGCUAAAAAAGGCCUUGAAUAAAAAUUGCAGAUUUAACCUGGAGACAUUCAGCUCUAACUUGGGCUACAAGGAUGUGAUGUCCUGCCUCCAAGAUAUGCCUGGACUGCUUCUCCGAAACAUUACUAAGCCCCGGAAUUAUGUUGUCCAACUGGAAUCACGUGCUUGUAGCCCUGCUCCUUCCUUGGAUUCAGAUUUCUCUGCCUGCAAUUCAGACACCACACCCUCGGGACUAAAGAGAGAGGAGUUUGGUAAGCUUGUUCUCCGAAUUCUGUCUCCAGCAGACCGGUUGAGCCCUUGCUAGCUCUGCUCUGUGUAUUUGUGUAUUGAUUCACAAGAUAAUGCCACAGCUCAACCGGAGCACCCCUCAGACAUAGACAGUCUGAAUGAAAGCUGUCCUUUCAUAUUCCCAGUUCAUAUUUAAAAAACCGAGUCUACAAUAGUGGAAUCAGAAAACACACAAGAAGUAAUUAAAACAGACAGUCAGCAGAAAUGAAGCAAAUGGUGGCAGGACGAAAAGCAGGGGAAAGUGUUUUAUUUCCUUGCUGAAUCCAUCCCACUUUGUCAAUCUCCCUUGUUCCCUUCCAUUUAAAUCCUCUUCAAGCAUCACCACAGUAAUGCUUUCCUUUUUAGCCUUAAGAAUGUUUUACUGAAUGGCAUAUGCACAACAGAACCAGAAACAUCACAGAAAGCCACAAAACCAGACUGUGACGAUUGCCCCAUGUCACUCCUGUCACUCAUAUUCAGGAUCUCAUUUGCAUGAGCCUAUGAGAGGAGUAGAGGGGCGGAGUCAGCGGAUAUGAGGAGGUUUCGGAUAUAAGAAAGUUGGACAGAAGAGAUCAAGGAAGGAGAUAUAGAAUUUGCAGAGAGAGAGAUAGUCAGGGAGAUAGUGAGAACAGAUACUAAGAUAUAAGCUGGUCAAGAUCAAUAGAGCAGGUGGUGAUUGGUUAUGUGGCAAGAUAUAUGACAUUUUAAUGAUUUGAUAGUAUGCAUUGAAUAAAGAACAUCUGUGAUUCUGAUUAAAUUUAACA
rnacentral:lncRNA from 1 species